rnacentral:tRNA from 5 species
CGGAGUGUAGCGCAGCCUGGUAGCGCACUUGCAUGGGGUGCAAGGGGUCGCAGGUUCAAAUCCUGUCUCUCCGACCA